rfam:Papilio machaon contig33974, whole genome shotgun sequence.
GAUAACUGGCUUGUGGCGGCCAAGCGUUCAUAGCGACGUUGCUUUUUGAUCCUUCGAUGUCGGCUCUUCCUAUCAUUGCGAAGCAAAAUUCGCCAAGCGUUGGAUUGUUCACCCAUCAAAAGGGAACGUGAGCUGGGUUUAGACCGUCGUAUUUUAUGCACAUUACUUGUACACACACGAUGUUUCACAUCUGCCAGGCGUUCCAUGACGGCUCACAAGUU